UGCAGUCGACGCUUCUUUUUCCACCGGAGCUUGCUCCACCGGAAAAAGAGGAGUGGCGAACGGGUGAGUAACACGUGGGUAACCUGCCCAUCAGAAGGGGAUAACACUUGGAAACAGGUGCUAAUACCGUAUAACAAUCAAAACCGCAUGGUUUUGAUUUGAAAGGCGCUUUCGGGUGUCGCUGAUGGAUGGACCCGCGGUGCAUUAGCUAGUUGGUGAGGUAACGGCUCACCAAGGCCACGAUGCAUAGCCGACCUGAGAGGGUGAUCGGCCACAUUGGGACUGAGACACGGCCCAAACUCCUACGGGAGGCAGCAGUAGGGAAUCUUCGGCAAUGGACGAAAGUCUGACCGAGCAACGCCGCGUGAGUGAAGAAGGUUUUCGGAUCGUAAAACUCUGUUGUUAGAGAAGAACAAGGAUGAGAGUAACUGUUCAUCCCUUGACGGUAUCUAACCAGAAAGCCACGGCUAACUACGUGCCAGCAGCCGCGGUAAUACGUAGGUGGCAAGCGUUGUCCGGAUUUAUUGGGCGUAAAGCGAGCGCAGGCGGUUUCUUAAGUCUGAUGUGAAAGCCCCCGGCUCAACCGGGGAGGGUCAUUGGAAACUGGGAGACUUGAGUGCAGAAGAGGAGAGUGGAAUUCCAUGUGUAGCGGUGAAAUGCGUAGAUAUAUGGAGGAACACCAGUGGCGAAGGCGGCUCUCUGGUCUGUAACUGACGCUGAGGCUCGAAAGCGUGGGGAGCAAACAGGAUUAGAUACCCUGGUAGUCCACGCCGUAAACGAUGAGUGCUAAGUGUUGGAGGGUUUCCGCCCUUCAGUGCUGCAGCUAACGCAUUAAGCACUCCGCCUGGGGAGUACGACCGCAAGGUUGAAACUCAAG
rnacentral:rRNA from 1 species